GGAUGAACGUUGGCGGUGUGCCUAAUACAUGCAAGUCGAACAGAGACUGUAGCAAUACUGUCUUAGUGGCGAACGGGUGAGUAACGCGUUGGUGAUCUGCCUCGAAGUGUGGAAUAACCUCCCGAAAGGGAAGCUAAUACCGCAUAGUCUCUCAAGGUUUAGAAAAUUGAGAGUAAAGGAUUUAUUCGCUUCGAGAGGAGCCUGCGUCCCAUCAGCUAGUUGGUAGGGUAACGGCCUACCAAGGCUAUGACGGGUAGGGGACCUGAGAGGGUGGCCCCCCACAAUGGAACUGAAACACGGUCCAUACACCUACGGGUGGCAGCAGUAGGGAAUAUUAGAAAUGGGCGGAAGCCUGAUCUAGCAACACCGCGUGUGCGAUGAAGGCCUUCGGGUCGUAAAGCACUUUUUGGAGGGAAUAGGAAGGAAGGUACCUCCAGAAUAAGUCUCGGCUAACUACGUGCCAGCAGCCGCGGUAACACGUAGGAGGCAAACGUUAUCCGGAUUCACUGGGCGUAAAGCGCGUGCAGGUGGUUUCGUAAGUAGGGCGUGAAAGCUCCCGGCUCAACUGGGAGAGGCCGUACUAAACUGCGGAGCUAGAGGAUGGUAGAGGGAGGUGGAAUUCCAGGUGUAGUGGUGAAAUGCGCAGAUAUCUGGAGGAACACCAGUGGCGAAGGCGGCCUCCUGGACCAUACCUGACACUCAGACGCGAAAGCUAGGGUAGCAAACGGAAUUAGAGACUCCGGUAGUCCUAGCCCUAAACGAUGCAGACUAGGCGUCGGCGGUUUAAUCACCGUCGGUGUCCAAGCUAACGCGAUAAGUCUGCCGCCUGAGGACUACGGCCGCAAGGCUAAAACUCAAAGGAAUUGACGGGUCCCCGCACAAGCAGCGGAGCGUGUGGUUUAAUUCGAUGCUCCGCGAAGAACCUUACCUGGGCUUAAAUGUAGAGUGCAUUUUCUAGAGAUAGAAAUUCCCUUCGGGGCUUUCUGCAAGGUGCUGCAUGGUUGUCGUCAGCUCGUGCCGUGAGGCGUCGGCUUAAGUGCCAUAACGAGCGCAACCCUUAUUUCCAGUUACUAACAGGUCAAGCUGAGGACUCUGGAGAGACUGCCAGCGUAAGCUGUGAGGAAGGUGGGGAUGACGUCAAAUCAGCACGGCCCUUACAUCCGGGGCGACACACGUGUUACAAUGGUAAGGACAAAGGGCAGCUACCGGGCGACCGGAUGCGAAUCUCUAAAGCCUGUCUCAGUUCGGAUCGCAGUCUGAAACCCGACUGCGUGAAGUUGGAUUCGCUAGUAAUCGCGCAUCAGCCAUGGCGCGGUGAAUACGUUCCCGGGCCU
rnacentral:rRNA from 1 species